GAUGAACGCUAGCUACAGGCUUAACACAUGCAAGUCGAGGGGUAACGAGAGGAAAGCUUGCUUUCCUUGUCGACGACCGGCGCACGGGUGAGUAACGCGUAUCCAACCUGCCCCCAACUAGGGAAUAACCUUGCGAAAGUAAGACUAAUACCCCAUAAUUUCCUCAGAUGUCAUCUGACGAGGAAUAAAGAUUUAUCGGUUGUGGAUGGGGAUGCGUCUGAUUAGCUUGUUGGCGGGGUAACGGACCACCAAGGCAACGAUCAGUAGGGGUUCUGAGAGGAAGGUCCCCCACAUUGGAACUGAGACACGGUCCAAACUCCUACGGGAGGAAGCAGUGAGGAAUAUUGGUCAAUGGGCGGAAGCCUGAACCAGCCAAGUAGCGUGCAGGAUGACGGCCCUAUGGGUUGUAAACUGCUUUUAUACAGGAAUAAAGUUAGCCACGUGUGGUUAUUUGUAGGUACUGUAUGAAUAAGGACCGGCUAAUUCCGUGCCAGCCGCCGCCGUAA
rnacentral:rRNA from 1 species